UACGUAGGGGGCAAGCGUUGUCCGGAAUCAUUGGGCGUAAAGCGCGCGUAGGCGGCCCGGUAAGUCCGCUCUGAAAGUCCAGGGCUCAACCCUGGAAAGCGGGUGGAUACUGCCGGGCUAGAAUCCGGAAGAGGCGAGUGGAAUUCCUGGGGUAGCGGUGGAAUGCGCAGAUAUCAGGAGGAACACCAAUAGCGAAGGCAGCUCGCUGGGACGUGACUGACGCUGAGACGCGAAAGCGUGGGGAGCAAACAGG
rnacentral:rRNA from 1 species